GAGGGCGGCGUUAAUACACAGCUUCAAAGAAUGAACGUCUAGUUCCUCUGGUCGUGGAGAGUAAAUACGUUUUCAUUAUCAGUAUUGUUGAUUGGUGUUUACAAGGGUGGGGUGAGCUGUCCCGCCUUCACUUCGGAACACGGACGUUCGCCUGCGUGGCGAAACAUCCACUCGCCCUGGGUGCUUGGACGCCUAAUGCGGCCGGAUCGCUCGCUUUUAGGUUUGCCACCCAGCUAAACCCCACUCAUAUCAAAGACUGAAGAACUUGUAUGUAUGGGUUCUUCUGGCGCCCUUUCGCUUUGAUUUCGGGACGCUGAGGAGGGUUAGCAAUAGGACUCUCCGAUAGGGGGGGCGCCUCCUUCCCGCCAUGCGUGCUGGACCAAGUCAGAAGUAAGUGUAUUCGAGGUUAGCGCUUCUGGACGUCGUGUGACAGGAGCCGCUGGCCGGUGAAACGAGAAAGGAGCCAUGCAGGUUUCCCU